rnacentral:rRNA from 1 species
GAUGAACGCUGGCGGCGUGCCUAAUACAUGCAAGUCGAGCGAACAGAUGAGGAGCUUGCUCCUCUGACGUUAGCGGCGGACGGGUGAGUAACACGUGGAUAACCUACCUAUAAGACUGGGAUAAAUUCGGGAAACCGGAGCUAAUACCGGAUAAUAUAUUGAACCGCAUGGUUCAAUAGUGAAAGACGGUUUUGCUGUCACUUAUAGAUGGAUCCGCGCCGCAUUAGCUAGUUGGUAAGGUAACGGCUUACCAAUGCAACGAUGCGUAGCCGACCUGAGAGGGUGAUCGGCCACACUGGAACUGAGACACGGUCCAGACUCCUACGGGAGGCAGCAGUAGGGAAUCUUCCGCAAUGGGCGAAAGCCUGACGGAGCAACGCCGCGUGAGUGAUGAAGGUCUUCGGAUCGUAAAACUCUGUUAUUAGGGAAGAACAAAUGUGUAAGUAACUAUGCACGUCUUGACGGUACCUAAUCAGAAAGCCACGGCUAACUACGUG